UNCAAAAAGGCACUUUGGAACAGGGCCA
rnacentral:piRNA from 1 species